UCCAAGGGACUCGCAGGAGUCUUCUCCAGCAUCAGAGUUCAAUAGCCUCCAUUCUUCAUCGCUCAGCCUUUAAAAAGGAUGUGGGAAGCCCUGUCCUACAGCGAUGUCAUUCCACAAGUCCCUCUUUUACAUGCCUGGUCCCGAUGCUGCUGCAGACUGAGUCUUGAACAGUGUCAUCACUGCAUUUGCUCAGACAGAUAGUCUAUUGUCUGCUGGCAAAAAACAGGUCAGCCAUCUUGUUCCCUGCUUUCUAACAACAAUCAGACUGGCUAACUUGUUUUCCUGACACUGAUUGCCAAUUAACAGCCAAGAACAGACAGGCUGCUGGCUUUUUUUUUUUGGUCUGGAAUAAUUAAACCAUCAUUUAUUUAUUUUUCAGAUUGGAAUAGAAAAACAGAAAUCUCGGGAUCAAGUGAUGUCAGCUGAUGUCAGGCGCGAAAGACCAGAUCCACACACGAAGGUUCUGCCACUCCUUUCCCUACCAUUGACUUCACUAUCUCUAGGGAUUUGUGAACAGGCUGUUUGCAUCAACAGGACCUGAAAUUCCGUUCACCUUCCUGAAAGUGCUAUAAAGAUAGCAGAAAGGCAAACCUUGUGUCAGAGACAAUGUGUAACCAAGAAAGGGAAGGCAGGAUGUGGAACACAAUGUACUCUGUCACUGACAGACCCUAAGGAACCUCUGUGGAGCAAUGCAUCUAUCACGCUUGGACUGGACCCUGAUGAAGACUUUUCUUUCAAUGAGAUGUUCGCCAU